ACCAUGAUUUCAAAAAUCAAAGUUAUAUACAAUAACAAAAUCAUUUAUGCAAUCUAUAUCUCGAUAUCUAUAUAUGUGUUCCCAUAUUGAAGUACAAACACACAUCAGAUUCAUCUAGAUCUUGAACAUUUGAUUCAUAUCCUAGAUCUGUCUUCAAAGAUGAAACUCUUUAUUCAAUUUAAUCCUCACUUCUCAAUAAUGAUAAUAAUAUAUGGUGGGUGUUUACAAUGAUUAUGGUGGUGGUUACGAUGGAUUUUUUAGAGCUUAAUGUGAUGUGUGUUUGUAAUUAGCCCUUACUUUUAGUGUUGAGGAAGGAGAAAGAUUAAAAGAAAAAAAGGAAAUAGAUUUGUGAUUGUAAUUUGGAGCAGACAAAGAGGCGACCAAAAACGAGGAAAAGGGUUAAGUCAUACGAUGAAGAUCCCCUAACUUUAGUGGUAUGAGUUUUGUAGUGAUUUAUACACAUUUAAAGCAUAUGAGUUAUAAAUUAA